rnacentral:rRNA from 1 species
GGCGGACGCAGUGAGUAACACGUAGGUAACCUGCCCAGAAGCGGGGGACAACAUUUGGAAACAGAUGCUAAUACCGCAAACANCGUUGUUCGCAUGAACAACGCUAAAAGAUGGCUUCUCGCUAUCACUUCUGGAUGGACCUGCGGUGCAUUAGCUUGUUGGUGGGGUAAYGGCCUACCAAGGCGAUGAUGCAUAGCCGAGUUGAGAGACUGAUCGGCCACAAUGGGACUGAGACACGGCCCAUACUCCUACGGGAGGCAGCAGUAGGGAAUCUUCCACAAUGGGCGCAAGCCUGAUGGAGCAACACCGCGUGAGUGAAGAAGGGUUUCGGCUCGUAAAGCUCUGUUGUUAAAGAAGAACACGUAUGAGAGUAACUGUUCAUACGUUGACGGUAUUUAACCAGAAAGUCACGGCUAACUACGUGCCAGCAGCCGCGGUAAUACGUAGGUGGCAAGCGUUAUCCGGAUUUAUUGGGCGUAAAGAGAGUGCAGGCGGUUUUCUAAGUCUGAUGUGAAAGCCUUCGGCUUAACCGGAGAAGUGCAUCGGAAACUGGAUAACUUGAGUGCAGAAGAGGGUAGUGGAACUCCAUGUGUAGCGGUGGAAUGCGUAGAUAUAUGGAAGAACACCAGUGGCGAAGGCGGCUACCUGGUCUGCAACUGACGCUGAGACUCGAAAGCAUGGGUAGCGAACAGGAUUAGAUACCCUGGUAGUCCAUGCCGUAAACGAUGAGUGCUAGGUGUUGGAGGGUUUCCGCCCUUCAGUGCCGGAGCUAACGCAUUAAGCACUCCGCCUGGGGAGUACGACCGCAAGGUUGAAACUCAAAGGAAUUGACGGGGGCCCGCACAAGCGGUGGAGCAUGUGGUUUAAUUCGAAGCUACGCGAAGAACCUUACCAGGUCUUGACAUCUUGCGCCAACCCUAGAGAUAGGGCGUUUCCUUCGGGAACGCAAUGACAGGUGGUGCAUGGUCGUCGUCAGCUCGUGUCGUGAGAUGUUGGGUUAAGUCCCGCAACGAGCGCAACCCUUGUUACUAGUUGCCAGCAUUAAGUUGGGCACUCUAGUGAGACUGCC